rnacentral:rRNA from 1 species
UUGGUUAAGUUAGAAAGGGCGCACGGUGGAUGCCUUGGCACUAGGAGCCGAAGAAGGACGGGACUAACACCGAUAUGCUUUGGGGAGCUGUACGUAAGCGUUGAUCCAGAGAUUUCCGAAUGGGGGAACCCACUAUCUUUAGUCGGAUAGUAUCCUUACGUGAAUACAUAGCGUAAGGAAGGCAGACCCAGGGAACUGAAACAUCUAAGUACCUGGAGGAAGAGAAAGAAAAAUCGAUUUCCUGAGUAGCGGCGAGCGAAACGGAAAGAGCCCAAACCAAGAAGCUUGCUUCUUGGGGUUGUAGGACACUCUAUACGGAGUUACAAAAGAAAGUUAUAAAUGAAGCGGUCUGGAAAGGCCCGCCAAAGACGGUAACAGCCCGGUAGUUGAAAUGGCUUUCCCUCCAGAGUGGAUCCUGAGUACGGCGGAACACGUGAAAUUCCGUCGGAAUCCGGGAGGACCAUCUCCCAAGGCUAAAUACUCCCUAGUGACCGAUAGUGAACCAGUACCGUGAGGGAAAGGUGAAAAGCACCCCGGAAGGGGAGUGAAACAGUUCCUGAAACCGUGUGCCUACAAGUAGUUAGAGCCCGUUAAUGGGUGAUAGCGUGCCUUUUGUAGAAUGAACCGGCGAGUUACGAUUUGUUGCAAGGUUAAGCGGAAAAAGCGGAGCCGUAGCGAAAGCGAGUCUGAAUAGGGCGCAUAAGUAACAGGUCGUAGACCCGAAACCAGGUGAUCUACCCAUGUCCAGGAUGAAGGUAAGGUAAUACUUACUGGAGGUCCGAACCCACGCACGUUGAAAAGUGCGGGGAUGAGGUGUGGGUAGCGGAGAAAUUCCAAUCGAACUUGGAGAUAGCUGGUUCUCUCCGAAAUAGCUUUAGGGCUAGCCUCGAGGUAAAGAGUCAUGGAGGUAGAGCACUGUUUGGACUAGGGGCCCUUCUCGGGUUACCGAAUUCAGAUAAACUCCGAAUGCCAUGUACUUAUACUCGGGAGUCAGACUGCGAGUGAUAAGAUCCGUAGUCGAAAGGGAAACAGCCCAGACCACCAGUUAAGGUCCCCAAAUAUAUGUUAAGUGGAAAAGGAUGUGGGGUUGCUUAGACAACCAGGAUGUUGGCUUAGAAGCAGCCACCAUUGAAAGAGUGCGUAAUAGCUCACUGGUCGAGUGACCCCGCGCCGAAAAUGUACCGGGGCUAAACAUAUUACCGAAACUGUGGAUGAACCUCUUCGGAGGUUCGUGGUAGGAGAGCGUUCUAAGGGCGGUGAAGUCAGACCGGAAGGACUGGUGGAGCGCUUAGAAGUGAGAAUGCCGGUAUGAGUAGCGAAAGAAGGGUGAGAAUCCCUUCCACCGAAUAUCUAAGGUUUCCUGAGGAAGGCUCGUCCGCUCAGGGUUAGUCGGGACCUAAGCCGAGGCCGAUAGGCGUAGGCGAUGGACAACAGGUAGAGAUUCCUGUACCAGUGCUAAUUGUUUAACCG